GAUGGAGAACGCAGCGAAAUGCGAUAAGUAAUGUGAAUUGCAGAAUUCAGUGAAUCAUCGAAUCUUUGAACGCACAUUGCGCCCGCCAGUAUUCUGGCGGGCAUGCCUGUUCGAGCGUCAUUUCAACCAUCAAGCCCCAGGCUUGUGUUGGGGACCUGCGGCUGCCGCAGGCCCUGAAAACCAGUGGCGGGCUCGCUGUCACACCGGGCGUAGUAGAUUUUAUCUCGCUCAGGGCGUGCUGCGGGUUCCGGCCGUUAAAAAGCCUUUUUUACCCAAGGUUGACCUCGGAUCAGGUAGGAAGACCCGCUGAACUUAAGCAUAUCAAUAAGCGGAGGA
rnacentral:misc_RNA from 1 species